rnacentral:rRNA from 1 species
ACGUACGCUGGCGGCACGCCUAACACAUGCAAGUCGAACGAAGUAGCAAUACUUAGUGGCAGACGGGUGAGUAACAUGUGGGUAUCUACCCUUUGGCCUGGAAUAACACGAGGAAACUUGUGCUAAUACCGGAUAAGUCUUUACGGAGAAAGCUUUAUGCACCAUUGGAUGAGCCCGCACUUGAUUAGUUUGUUGGUAGGGUAAUGGCCUACCAAGACUGUGAUCAAUAGCUGAUUUGAGAGGAUGAUCAGCCACAUUGGGACUGAGACACGGCCCAAACUCCUACGGGAGGCAGCAGUGGGGAAUCUUGCACAAUGGAGGAAACUCUGAUGCAGCGAUGCCGCGUGAGUGAAGAAGGCCCUUGGGUUGUAAAGCUCUUUCGUCGGGGAAGAAAAUGACUGUACCCGAAUAAGAAGGUCCGGCUAACU